rnacentral:rRNA from 1 species
GAUGAACGCUGGCGGCGUGCCUAACACAUGCAAGUCGAGCGAACGGACGAGAAGCUUUCGUCUUUACGGUUAGCGACUGACGGGCGAGUAACACGUGCAUAACCUACUUAUAAUUCUGGGAGAACUUCGGAAAACCGGAUCUAAUACCGGAGCAUAUGAUGAACCGCAGGGUGCAAAAGUUAAUGACGGUUUUCGUGUUAGUAAUAGAUGAAGCCGUGCUGCAUUAGCUAGUUGGUAAGGUAACGGCUUACCAAGGCAACGAUGCGUAGCCGAUCUGAGAGGAUGAUCAGCCACACUGGAACUGAGACACGGUCCAGACUCCUACGGGAGGCAGCAGUGGGGAAUAUUCGGCAAUGGGCGCAAGCCUGACGCAGCCAUGCCGCGUGAGUGAAGAAGGUCUUCGGGUCGUAAAGCCCUGUUAUUAGGAAAGAAAAGCUGUAUGAUUAUCCCUCGCUAUUCUGACGGUACCCAAACAAAAAGCACCGGCUAACUACGUG